rnacentral:rRNA from 1 species
CGUAACAAGGUUUCCGUAGGUGAACCUGCGGAUAGAUCAUUGUUGA